AACGACAAGGGCAAACCAUUCGAAAGAAUGGGACGCAAAGCCAUAGGGCCUUUCACGAAAGUGAGUGGCAGCCGUGCUACCGAAG
rnacentral:ncRNA from 1 species